GACGAACGUUGGCGGCGUGCUUAAUACAUGCAAGUCAACUGAAGCAGUGGUAGCAAUAUCGCUGUGGAGGUGGCGCACGGGUGAGUAACACGUAGGUAAUCUGCCUUCAGGUCUGGCAUAACUCCGGGAAACCGGGGCUAAUAGCAGAUGAUGCAGCGGCUCGACAUCGAGACAGUUGUUAAAGCUAUGGCGCCUGAAGAUGAGCCUGCGUCUGAUUAGCUAGUUGGCGGGGUAACGGCCCACCAAGGCAACGAUCAGUAGCUGGUCUGAGAGGAUGAUCAGCCACACUGGAACUGAGACACGGUCCAGACUCCUACGGGAGGCAGCAGUAAGGAAUAUUGCUCAAUGGAGAAAUCCUGAAGCAGCAACGCCGCGUGAGGGACGAAGGGCUUUUGCUUGUAAACCUCUGUAGUGAGAGAAAAAAAUCCCAAUCUUUGGGACAUGAUGGUAUCUCAAAAGUAAGCCCCGGCUAACUACGUG
rnacentral:rRNA from 1 species